UUUCAAUGUAAUGUGUGGCCAAUGAAAUAAGGGAAUGAUUUAUGUGGGGAUGACUGUUCCCCUCGAUUCAGAUGGGAUUUCAGCGUGCUGUCCAGAGAAGUGGAGGGAGGGAAGAGAAAGGAUGUUGGGGGUGGGGUCGCUGUGUUAGCGGGGGCCGUGCGAUGAGCUGCGGUCGUAGAAACGGAAUAGAUGGAAGUAUCUGAUGCGGCGGCGCCUGAUGGUCAACGCUGCGUUUGUUUUUUUUGUUCAGCGUUGCUACUGUUUAUUUGUUUGUGUCACACGAGUGUCCCACGUAAUCCCCGGUCAUGAGAGUAAUGAUUGUUGGAACACACACACACACACACACACACACACACACACACACACACACACACACACACACACACACACACACACACACACACACACACACACACACACCAGGUGGCUAGCAAGUUGUCAACUACCAGCCAGAAAGAGCAUAUGUCCGUCUCCCUUCCAGAUUAAUGGAAGCCCGUUAAUAUCGUGGUACAGUCAAGAGUGGAGGGGACACGGGGCAGGAGAGUGUUGGGCUGCAGGGAGAGAGAUGGAUAGAGGGAGACUGAGAAAGGCAAGGGAAGACUGGCGGAGAUCCAGCCGAUAAGCGAUGGAAGGAGAAUGUGGGCGGGAGAGAACCGAGCAAGUCUUGGAAGGGAGAUGGAAGUGUUUUCUGUAACAGCCGAGCUGAACACACCCGCAAAAGAUUCUUCCACCAUGCUACCAUGUAACGACCAUGGAGAAAGGUGUGUGUGUGUGUGUGUGUGUGUGUGUGUGUGUGUGUGUGUGUGUGUGUGUGUGUGUGUGUGUGUGUGUGUGUGUGUGUGUGUGUGUGUGUGUGUGUGUGUGUGUGUGUGUGUGUGUGUGUGUGCCUUACUGCGGUUGCCCCACCUACCCCUCCAUCCUGUUAAGGAGGCAGAGCCCUAAGAAGAAAGGGGAGGAUCCUCUUGUCUCAGCCCCCUAGCACAGGCACACACACACACACACACACACACACACACACACACUCCUCACACACGCAGCCCCUCUCACACACACACACUCCCCACCACCGCGUGUGAGGGAGCAGUCGUCGGAGAGCUGGAUAGAGCUUGCCAGGUUCUGCAGGUGUCCCACCCUCUCUACACUACGAGCCUGGAAGGAGGUCUUUUUCGUCUGGGACCACAGAUUCCUUGCAGCAACCCUCACAUCACUACACAAGAACUGAUUCUGUGAAGUGUUUGAUGGGGGCUCCGAGGCUGCGUCCUGGCGACCUACGACCCCAGCGGGAGAGGCCCGUGUGACACUUGACCCCGGACUGGAUGUGCGGCUGACCCCUUGAGGAUACGGUCGCAACAAUGGAAGGCACGUGCCGUGGCCCCGUCACCAUGGUAACAAUGGACCUUUGGGGACGUGGGGGGGGGGGCGGCAUUAGGGUGGGGUGGUCCCUUUCAGGGUGUCCAGGCGGAUCCAUGUUAACCAUCUGCUGCCAAUUGACUCCGGUAGGUGCUACAUUGUAGUGCACGUACGUGUGUGUGUGUGUGGGGGUGUCCUGUUUUUAUGUGUGCGUGUUUCCUCUUUGUGUUUUUGUGUGUUCUGUUGGUCCUGUUUGUGUGUCGGUGUGUGUGUGUGUGUUCUGUUUUUUUGUGUGUGUGUCUGUGCUUGUAUGUGUGUGAUCAUGCAUUUGUGUGUGAUCAUGCAUUUGUGUGUGUGUGUGUGUGUGUGUGUGUGUGUGUGUGUGUGUGUGUGUGUGUGUGUGUGUGUGUGUGUGUGUGUGUGUGUGUGUGUGUGUGUGUGUGUGUGUGUGUGUGUGUGUGUCACGUGUACGACAGCUACAACCAAGGGGACAGACUGGGUAAUCUCUGCAGGCAACUGUGAUGGUGUGUUUAUAAAUCUCACAAUCACCUGGAGAGAUUCUGCAGUCUGUCUCAUUAAGCGACUCCAGCUAGCCUGCUAGCCCACUGUCGUACAAUGUACAAGGGAACCUCCGCAGAAAGGCUUAAAACUGGGUCGCCAGUCCAACACCAUGCUGCAUUCACAUGACUAAGCGAAAUAAGUGAUUUCAAUCAGGGAGAAACGAUUUUAAGAUGAAAAAAAAAGGAAUUGCAGAACCUUAAGUAGCAUCUUAAAAAUAAAAUAUUUUAUGUGGGGCGACAGUGGCGGUCUAUUGAGUAGAGCAUGUUUCCUGCAUUUCUAAAUAUAUGAAUAAAUAUCUGCCAUCUAGUGGACACUUUUAUUCAACGUCUCUUAGAAUACUGUGACCGAUGCAUACAUCCUUAGCAUGGGUGGCCCUCAGGGUAAUCGAACCCCCAACCCUUUGCACUGUUAAUGCCCUGCUUUGUACCGGAACCACAUGAACAAGACCUGCUUCUCCAUGUAAACUUGAAAUGAACGUAAAAUGUGUAUUUACUUUGAUGUGGUGUUUAGAACCUGCUCCACUGUCUCCUCCCUAUCCUCCCAGUCCUUACCCCUUGUACAUUACACCCCUAUCCAUCCACCCAAACCCCUAACAUACCGGGUCCCUCAACCCCCACCCCCUCCCCACCAUGUCAUCCUCUUCUUCGCAAGUUCUGCUGCGCGUUGGUAAAAUCUCAGCUGGCAACUGUGAGUCUUUCACUAUCUGCACUCACAAUGGCCGCUGGGAUUAUGCUAAACGUAGCGCGGCGGCGGCUACGCUGGCCCUGUCCGGCAGGCCCUGCAGUGACGCCCCCCCCCCCCCAAUUUAGGCACACAGGAAGAGAGGAGGCGGCUCUCAAUGAAGAUGUCGCCACAAUUACACAUCAGGGUUCACCCAAAUGGCCUCUCUCUCUCUCUCUCUGUCUCUCUCUGUCUCUCUCGCUCUCUCUCGCUCUCUCGCUCUCUCUCUCUCGCUCUUUUUUGCUCUCGCUUUUUUUUGCUCCACCCGCCACAAUCACGGCCGUCUCCUUCACCAACUCAUCUGUAUCCCUGUGUCCCCGUUUUUUUUCUUUCAACACAAAACACUUUCUUUUUCCAAGUGCCCGAAAUCUUUUUCGCAGCAUUUUUUCCUUUUUUCACCCACAUUGCAUGGUCCAUUUUGAAUUUGCAUGAAUGAAUGUUCACUGUUGCAAGAAGCUUCUGCUGCCAUUUCUACUUACUCUGAUGGACACUGUGUUGGUUGUUUUGUGCGUGUGUGUGUGUGUGUGUGUGUGUGUGUGUGUGUGUGUGUGUGUGUGUGUGUGUGUGUGUGUGUGUGUGUGUGUGUGUGUGUGUGUGUGUGUGUGUGUGUGUGUGUGUGAGAACUGUUCAAUGAGUUUAUCCAUGGGUGCCCCCCUGCCCCUGACCCGGGUCGUCCAGAGGGGGAGGUGGCAGAGGGGGGGCGUGAAGGCAGACAAUCUGGUGUGGAUGAUACUGCAUCAGGAACUGAUUGGCUGAUGCCUAGUGGCCAACAGUACCUGAUGCAUUUCCUUCAGCACCAAAAGAAGCAUCUCAAAAGUCCCUCGCUCUAUUGUGUGUGUGUGUGUGUGUGUGUGUGUGUGUGUGUGUGUGUGUGUGUGUGUGUGUGUGUGUGUGUGUGUGUGUGUGUGUGUGUGUGUGUGUGUGUGUGUGUGUGUGUGUGUGUCUGGUGCUGAUGUGUAAUGUCAGCCCCCCCACCCCCAGUUACAGUAUGUGUUGCCUUCCGUAACCUAAGCAAAUAAAGAUGACUCUUCUCCCUUGCUAUUCUGUGUGUGGUCAUUGCUCAUUUGUUUUAAAUAUGAUUACGUUGCUUGUUUUAGGCAGACACUGAUUAAAGAUGUCCUGAUCAAUUUUUUUUCAAGUCAACAACAAAUUCUUACAUAUUAAUUAAAAAAUGUUUGCUGUGCACCAAUGUGUUCGUGCUCCCCCCAGGUCUGUUUACUCUUGAGUGUGGGUAACCAUGACAACAAGCAAUUCGACACAGUGCGUGUGUUACACACGACAAGGUGCAUGUGCAUGUGUGCGUGUUAUAGUGGCAGGGGAAUUUGCUUAUAAUCGUCAUAGAUGUUGUAAACCUCAAAGCGGUGCUUGCAUUGAGCCAAGGUCCAAUCUAUCACUCUGACAUUUAAAUGCAGAAAGUGUUUGUAGUGCCGUUCCGUACAGUAAUUUUCUAGCCCGUUUACCAAGCACUCAGUUGGACCCCUGGGUGCCCUUAGGUCAUUCAUCAACGGGUUAUGUUUGCGGAAUAUUUCAACACCCUCUUGGCUUCCCUCUCAUCUGCCUGAGAGAGACCGUCUGCCAGCGUAUCAGUGGGGGUUCCCUCUGGGCGUCCUCUGGGCUUGGUCGUCAACAGCCUUUUGCUAUAGUGUUAGUUAGGUACAGACCUCCAAGAAGAAUCACUGCCCACUGUAUCGCUGUGCUGCUAUCUGCCAGCAGGAAUUCAGUUCCAACGAGGAGUAGACGACAAGAAGGAAACAACGUUCUCUGAUCUUUUUUGUACAUCAGGCUGAUGAUGGGAACUUUCCCCAUUGAUUUAUUUAAAAGUUACACCUUUUUUUUUUUAAAUGCCUUUAGACAAACAUCAUUUCCUUGUAUUUCCUUUUUUUUUUAUGAGUGGAUCUUUUUUUUCUACAUCUGUUUAAUAUGAUGGGAAGUUAAAUAAAGAGCUGAACUCUU